rnacentral:rRNA from 1 species
AUUGAACGCUGGCGGCAGGCCUAACACAUGCAAGUCGAGCGGAGCGGGGGACGGGUGAGUAAUGCCUAGGUAUCUGCCUGGUAGUGGGGGAUAACGUCCGGAAACGGGCGCUAAUACCGCAUACUAUCAGAUGAGCCUAGGUCGGAUUGGCUCGGGGUUGGGGUAAAGGCCUACCAAGGCGACGAGCCGUAACUGGUGCGAGAGGAUGAUCAGUCACACUGGAACUGAGACACGGUCCAGACUCCUACGGGAGGCAGCAGUGGGGAAUAUUGGACAAUGGGCGAAAGCCUGAUCCAGCCAUGCCGCGUGUGUGAAGAAGGGCUUCGGAUUGUAAAGCACUUUAAGUUGGGAGGCGGUACCAACAGAAUAAGCACCGGCUAACUUCGUGCCAGCAGCCGCGGUAAUUC